UACAGAGGUCCCAAGCGUUGUUCGGAUUCACUGGGCGUAAAGGGUGCGUAGGCGGUCGGGUAAGUCUGACGUGAAAUCUUCAAGCUCAACUUGGAAACUGCGUCGGAUACUAUUCGGCUAGAGGAAUGGAGGGGAGACUGGAAUACUUGGUGUAGCAGUGAAAUGCGUAGAUAUCAAGUGGAACACCAGUGGCGAAGGCGGCUCACUGGUCCAUUACUGACGCUGAGGUGCGAAAGCGUGGGGAGCAAACAGG
rnacentral:rRNA from 1 species